GUCUCUGUGGCGCAAUCGGCUAGCGCAUUCGGCUGUUAACCGAAAGGUUGGUGGUUCGAGCCCACCCAGGGACG
rfam:Trichinella pseudospiralis scaffold9s, whole genome shotgun sequence.